UUAGUGGCGGACGGGUGAGUAACGCGUGGAUAACCUGCCGUAUACAGGGGGAUAACACUUAGAAAUAGGUGCUAAUACCGCAUAAGCGCACGGUUCCGCAUGGAACAGUGUGAAAAACUCCGGUGGUAUACGAUGGAUCCGCGUCUGAUUAGCCAGUUGGCGGGGUAACGGCCCACCAAAGCGACGAUCAGUAGCCGGCCUGAGAGGGUGAACGGCCACAUUGGGACUGAGACACGGCCCAAACUCCUACGGAAGGCAGCAG
rnacentral:rRNA from 1 species